UUAGCUCAGCUGGGAGAGCAUCUGCCUUACAAGCAGAGGGUCAUAGGUUCGAGUCCUAUAGGCCCCA
rnacentral:tRNA from 1 species